GAAAUGCGAUAAGUAGUGUGAAUUGCAGAAUUCAGUGAAUCAUCGAAUCUUUGAACGCACAUUGCGCCCCUCGGUAUUCCGUGGGGCAUGCCUGUUCGAGCGUCAUCUACACCCUCAAGCUCUGCUUGGUGUUGGGCGUCUGUCCCGCCUCCGCGCGCGGACUCACCCCAAAUGCAUUGGCAGCGGUUCCUUGCCCCCCUCUUUGCGCAGCACAUUGCCAUUCGAGGCGGCGGCGGCCCGCGUCCAACAAGCUCAACCCCCCCGUCUUUGACCUCGGAUCAGGUAGGGAUACCCGCUGAACUUAAGC
rnacentral:misc_RNA from 1 species